rnacentral:lncRNA from 1 species
CAGCAGCCGCGUGACGGAGACUCCUGACUCCCAGGCCCGUGCUCUACCCACUAGGCCGUGUCCCAGUGCUGCCCUUGUGGCUGAAAGUGACGUCGAAUUGGUGGAGUCGAUGGGUCAUCCGGGGAACUUCCUAAGUCUCUUUUGCAAAUCCCACCCCUGCGGAGGACUCGCGCCGAAGGCGUCCUGCCUGCUCCUGGGGGGUGAAGCACCUGAAGAACCAGAGCGACUCGGCUGUCCCGGAAGAAGAAGAGGGAGCGAAUGAAAGAGGAGGACCGUGGGACCACUAGUUCCAGAGCGGUGACCCAGUAGGUCCUUGGAAUAACUGGACUGGUAAUCUUUGACACCCAACCAAAGAACUCCAUCGCUUGACUUCCUGAACUCCGCCUCAGCAGACCACAGUAAAAGUCGAAAUCUUCCUCCUGGAAUUGUUCCUUGACUGGUAUUUAAAUCCAUGUGCAAUUUGUUCCUUAUAACCAAAGAAUAGAUGUUUAUUUUCCAGUAGUUUUUCCUCCCUCACAACUUAGAAAGGCCACCCGCAAACAUGUUCGUGAUUUUGUGUGACUACUGCCAGAGCUAGAGACCUGAUUUGCCCUUCUAAUGUGAUUCGCGUUCUAAGGUCAACUGUAAAUACAGUCGUACGGAUUUAAGAGAUACACAAUAAAUAAUCGAUCCAUUUAGACAAGGUUGUGUGUCUGCCUCUAAGAUGGGUAAAUGUGCUGAGUGAAAGCAGAACCGAGCGGUCAAAAAUGGCAUUUCUCAGUGUAGGCCUUUCUGUCAGCAUCGGCUACUCAGCUCAGGACAGAGUAGAGCUGUCUGCCUUGUGGAACUGACAAGUUCACUUUGCCGUAAUAACAGUGAUGAUAAUAAUUGUGGUAAUUGUUAAGUGCUUGCUCUGUGUAAAGCACUCUACUAAGUGCCGGGGCAGAUACAUGAUGAUCAAGUCCCAUUUGGAACUCACAGUCUAAGUAGAAGGGAGAUGAGGGAUUGAAUUCCCAUUUUGCAGAUGAGGGAAGUGAGGCACAGAGAAGUUGAGUGACUUGCCCAAAGUCACAGAGCAGACCUUUGGAGGAGACAGCAUUAGAACCCAGGUCCUCUGACUCCCAGGCCCAUGUCCUUUCCAUUAAGCCACAGUCCUUCUCAUAGCGGUAGUCCCUGACACUUUAAAAAAGCUAAAGUCUUUCCUUCUGACAACAUUUCAGUGGCAAUGAAAAGUGAUCAUGUGAUCCACCACCAUUUCCUGUCAAUCUAGAGAAAAAGGUGUGGAAAGUAGGGGAGAAGGUGAGUUCAAGAAGAAAGUGUCAGGCUUGAGCUUUUGCCCAACUUUUCAAGAUUGUUGGUAGGCUAGUCUGUGUAGAGUGACA